CUUGUAGGUGGUUUGUCGCGUCUGCUGUGAAAAUCCGAGGCUCAACCUCGGACUUGCAGUGGGUACGGGCAGACUAGAGUGUGGUAGGGGAGACUGGAAUUCCUGGUGUAGCGGUGGAAUGCGCAGAUAUCAGGAGGAACACCGAUGGCGAAGGCAGGUCUCUGGGCCAUUACUGACACUGAGAAGCGAAAGCAUGGGGAGCGAACA
rnacentral:rRNA from 1 species